GACGAACGCUGGCGGCGUGCUUAACACAUGCAAGUCGAACGGAAAGGCCCUGCUUGCAGGGUACUCGAGUGGCGAACGGGUGAGUAACACGUGGGUGAUCUGCCCUGCACUUCGGGAUAAGCCUGGGAAACUGGGUCUAAUACCGGCUAGGAGCCAUAUUUAGUGUGAUGGUUGGAAAGUUUUUUCGGUGUAGGAUGAGCUCGCGGCCUAUCAGCUUGUUGGUGGGGUAAUGGCCUACCAAGGCGGCGACGGGUAGCCGGCCUGAGAGGGUGGACGGCCACAUUGGGACUGAGGUACGGCCCAGACUGCUACGGGAGGGAGCAGGGGGGAAGAUUGCACAAGGGGCGCAAGCCUGAUGCAGCGACGCCGCGUGGGGGAUGACGGCCUUCGGGUUGUAAACUCCUUUCGCUAGGGACGAAGCUUUUUGUGACGGUACCUAGAUAAGAAGCACCGGCUAACUACGUG
rnacentral:rRNA from 1 species